rnacentral:rRNA from 1 species
UCGAGAAUCUUCGGCAAUGGGCGCAAGCCUGACCGAGCGACGCCGCGUGCGGGAUGAAGGCCUUCGGGUUGUAAACCGCUGUCGGGAGGGAUGAAGUGCAUGGGGGCUAUCCCCUGUGUUUGACAGAGCUCCGGAGGAAGCACGGGCUAAGUUCGUGCCAGCAGCCGCGGUAAUACGAACUGUGCGAACGUUAUUCGGAAUCACUGGGCUUAAAGGGUGCGUAGGCGGCGCUGUAAGUCAGGUGUGAAAGCCCUCGGCUCAACCGAGGAAUUGCGCUUGAAACUGCAGUGCUUGAGUGAGGUAGGGGUGCAUGGAACUUCCGGUGGAGCGGUGAAAUGUGUAGAUAUCGGAAGGAACGCCGGCGGCGAAAGCGGUGCACUGGGCCUUGUCUGACGCUGAGGCACGAAAGCUAGGGUAGCGAACG